GAUGAAGAACGUAGCGAAAUGCGAUAAGUAAUGUGAAUUGCAGAAUUCAGUGAAUCAUCGAAUCUUUGAACGCAUCUUGCGCUCCUUGGUAUUCUGAGGAGCAUGCCUGUUUGAGUGUCAUUAAAUUCUCAACUACACUGACUUUGAAAUGGUGUGGCUUGGAUUUGGGGGGAAAAUUGUUGUGGGCUUUUUGUAUAGUCUGCUCCCCUGAAAUUGAUUAGCGGUACCUUUGUGGAACUGUCUACAGGUGUGAUAAUUAUCUACAUCUUAGACAUCUGCUGGAAUGCUGCUUUCUAAACCUUACUUGUAUUGACAAUCUUGACCUCAAAUCAGGUAGGACUACCCGCUGAACUUAAGCAUAUCAAUAAGCGGAGGA
rnacentral:misc_RNA from 1 species